rnacentral:rRNA from 1 species
CAGUAGCCACGGUAAUACGUAGGUGGCAAGCGUUGUCCGGAAUUAUUGGGCGUAAAGCGCGCGCAGGCGGAUAGGUCAGUCUGUCUUAAAAGUUCGGGGCUUAACCCCGUGAUGGGAUGGAAACUGCCAAUCUAGAGUAUCGGAGAGGAAAGUGGAAUUCCUAGUGUAGCGGUGAAAUGCGUAGAUAUUAGGAAGAACACCAGUGGCGAAGGCGACUUUCUGGACGAAAACUGACGCUGAGGCGCGAAGGCCAGGGGAGCGAACGGGAUUAGAUACCCCCGUAGUCCCUGUCUCUUAUACA